ensembl:snoRNA SNORD115 Small nucleolar RNA SNORD115
UGGUCAAUGAAGAGUACUGAUCUUGUUGAAAACAGUUGAUGACAUAAAAAUCAUACUCAAUAGGAUUAUGCUGAAGCCC